GAUGAACGCUGGCGGCGUGCCUAAUACAUGCAAGUCGAGCGAACAGAUGAGGAGCUUGCUCCUCUGACGUUAGCGGCGGACGGGUGAGUAACACGUGGAUAACCUACCUAUAAGACUGGGAUAACUUCGGGAAACCGGAGCUAAUACCGGAUAAUAUAUUGAACCGCAUGGUUCAAUAGUGAAAGACGGUUUUGCUGUCACUUAUAGAUGGAUCCCCGCCGCAUUAGCUAGUUGGUAAGGUAACGGCUUACCAAGGCAACGAUGCGUAGCCGACCUGAGAGGGUGAUCGCCCACACUGGAGCUGAGACGCGGUCCAGACUCCUACGGGAGGCAGCAAUAGGGAAUCUUCCGCAAUGGGCGAAAGCCUGACGGAGCAACGCCGCGUGAGUGAUGAAGGUCUUCGGAUCGUAAAACUCUGUUAUUAGGGAAGAACAAAUGUGUAAGUAACUAUGCACGUCUUGACGGUACCUAAUCAGAAAGCCACGGCUAACUACGUG
rnacentral:rRNA from 1 species